CAGUCGCCGCGGUAAUACAGAGGGUGCGAGCGUUAAUCGGAUUUACUGGGCGUAAAGCGUGCGUAGGCGGCUUUUUAAGUCGGAUGUGAAAUCCCUGAGCUUAACUUAGGAAUUGCAUUCGAUACUGGGAAGCUAGAGUAUGGGAGAGGAUGGUAGAAUUCCAGGUGUAGCGGUGAAAUGCGUAGAGAUCUGGAGGAAUACCGAUGGCGAAGGCAGCCAUCUGGCCUAAUACUGACGCUGAGGUACGAAAGCAUGGGGAGCAAACAGGAUUAGAUACCCGCGUAGUCCCUGUCUCUUAUAU
rnacentral:rRNA from 1 species